UUCAGCUACUAUAUAAGGAACACAAGAUUUAAAAAACUGUACUUUCAAAACUUCACUCAGUAUUGAAAUAAAAGGAAAUGAAAUUUAUAUUCUACGCUUUCAUUGCAUUGUCUGCCAUUGUUGCUGCAAUGGCUCAAGGUGAUGGACUUAGUGAAAGUACUGAGGACUUUAUGAAUAUGUUACUACAACAAGCAGGUUAAGCCGUUAUGAUAACAAGCACAAAUGAUUUCAAGCAAGCAAAUCAAGCAAGCUUCUGAAUUGUGUAAUUAAGCACUAAUUUUUCGAAUAUUAAUUAUUUUCAUUUUAUUUUUUUUUCUCAAAUUUUAUUACAUGAAAAGUAUUCUUUCAAUCUGAACAUGUACAAUAUAUGCUUAAUAAAUUACUGAUGAUGAACUAAAGAAA